rnacentral:rRNA from 1 species
GGCCUUUUGAGUAUAAUUUAAGGUCGGGCCUGCCCAAUGAUUAAUUAAAUGGCCGCGGUAUACUGACCGUGCAAAGGUAGCAUAAUCAUUAGUUUUUUAAUUGAAAGCUUGCAUGAAGGGUUUAAUGAAAAAAACACUGUCUCUGUUUAAAUUUAUUAGAAUUUUAUAUUUAAGUUAAAAAGCUUAAAUUCAUAUUGAAGACGAGAAGACCCUAUAGAGUUUAAUAUUUUAUUUAAAAAUUAACUAUUAGGAAUUUAGAAUAUUUGUUACUUAAAGUAUUUAAUUGGGGAGAUUGAAAAAUUGAUUUAACUUUUUUUGUAUUUUUACAUUGAUUAAUGAAUUUAAGAUCCUUUAUUUGAGAUUAAAAGAUUUAAUUACCUUAGGGAUAACAGCGUAAUUUUUUUUAGAGUUCUUAUCGAAAGGAAAGAUUGCGACCUCGAUGUUGGAUUAAAAUUAAUUAUUGGUGUAGAAGCUAAUAAAUUAGGUCUGUUCGACCUUUAAAUUUUUACAUGAUCUGAGUUUAAACCGGUGUAAG